rnacentral:rRNA from 1 species
UACAGAGGUGGCAAGCGUUGUUCGGAAUUACUGGGCGUAAAGGGCGCGUAGGCGGCCUUCUAAGUCAGACGUGAAAUCCCCGCUUAACCUGGAACUGCGUCUGAUACUGGGAGGCUUGAGUAUGGAGAGGGAUGUAGAAUUCCAGGUGUAGCGGUGAAAUGCGUAGAUAUCUGGAGGAAUACCGGUGGCGAAGGCGGCAUCCUGGACCAUAAC